UGCAGCUCCCCGCUUCCUUGUGGAGCAGCUCGCAGAAAGGUAUAAUUUUGCAAACAGUUUCUUUAAGAGCUAAGCCUGAAGUACCAUCAGCGAUGUGUGUGAAUAGAAAAAGAAACACCUCCACAAAAGGAGGGAUUGUUAAUGGAGGACAAUCCGAAGGGGGCCCACUAAGGCCUGUCCUUUACAAUAACGAUGGAGGGCGAUGAUUUGAAUGCAGGGGGCCCUACUUUCAAAUCUGGACAAAAACAAAAUGGUAAUCAGGGUUGAAUCCCUCACUGGUCAAAGCAGUGGGCAGCAACUGGUCUCUUUAACUGCCCCCACCCCCUCCUUCCUCCAAAGCAGACCCCAAACAAGAGGAACUCUCCUCCUCUUUAACUUUAUUUCCUUGAUUAGCUCUAAAAAAAUAAUCACCCGGCUGGACUUGGGGGAAGUUUUUUAGGGGCUGUUUGAAAGCAGAGGGCUCCUCUCCUGCAGGUGCUGCGGGGAUGCGCCUCACCAUGGGCAGCUACAAAAAUCCCUGCAAAGUGGUCCCUGCUGGCAAAAAGAACCCUCAAGACAAAACCCAAGGUUUAUUACGGAGUAUGAAAAUCAGGAAGCUUUUUGUUCACUUCAUACAUCUCUUCCGACAAAGCCAGGCAUCAGAACCCGGCACAGACUCCAGAGUGAUUAUUGUUACACAUGAUCUAUGGAGCAGAUAAAUUACAGCUUGAUUUUUAUAAGGUUUCUCAGAGCUGGAGAAGGGCAGAUGGGGACAUGGGCUCCUGCAGCAGGGGCUGUUCUUGCAUCACCCACUGGCCGAGCCUCAGAAGUGACCUAACAUAAGUGGAGUGGAAAGCAAGGUGGAAGGUUUUUUGCACACGAUAUAGCAGUAGUAAUGAAUAAUGAAGGAAUUUUUACCUUCUUUGCCAUUUUAGCUUGCUUUUCUUGCUAGUUAUUGCCUUCCAGUCCAAAUGAGCAUCUCAAGGUUGACAAGGUAAUUUGUGUGUAUUUUGGAGCUCAUGACGUGGUAGGUCAGGAAUUAAAGCAGUGCUGGAAGUAGGGAUCACAUCAGAUCCAGUCAUCUGCAGCAGAGGAGGAGAAGCUCAAGCAAGAGCCAUGAUCCUCUACCCUUUUAUCAAAUCUAAGGACUCUUUCUCCCAUCCUCUUCUAAAAAUUCCUAUUUAUCUCAUUCAAAUACAUCUGCUCCUAAUAGAUGAGAGGGCUUAAGUUAUGAAUGCAAGGACAUAAAGACUUCUAAUGAGAAUUAUACACCUUUCUGUCCAUCUCAGCAGCUGACCUGUGCAGUUACCCACUUAUUUUCAAACACUCCGGUGCAAAUGCUCUUGACACAAAAUACUGCAUCAGUGUUGAAUAAGGGCUUAUCCUAUCAACUGCACUGUGUGCUAUGUGCAUAUGUAACCCCAGCCAGGAUCUCACGGUCAGACAAUCCCAAAUUGAUGGCAGCUCUAUAAAAUGUUUUCUCUUGUAGCUGUUCUUUGGGAUGCCCAGUUGACAGCUCACGUAUCAGCACUCGCUCAAGUCACAGUUUAACUCCCAGAAAAUCUUCAGGAGCAACAAAAACAUUGCUGAAAGUAUCCUAUGCAAUAUGAAAACAUUUUUAUCUUUAUCAUAUGGUGGAAGAUUAAAGUCAGUCUACAUGAAAGCAGAGUGUGUAACUGGAUACAAGAUUCCCAGAUAGGUGGCACGUGUCAACAGGCAUUACAUGGUGUCUUUAGGUGAGCCUUUGAUACAGCCUGUUAAAUAGUUCAGUGAGAUAGAUGCAACCAUGAGAGGGUUUCAAGACCUUGAUUUGCUUUCCAGCUCAAAUAAAUCCGAAUAGAACAGACUUAAAUUACCUGUGAUUUUUCUGUCUUUAGGAGGACACAUAAAAGCUCAUGAGAUUGCUUUACUCCCUGGGGGGAAAAAAAAAUAAGGGGAAAAAAAUACAACAGGAAAACUAUGAAAGAUUCAUUUUAAUGGAAUCCAGGUUUAACUGUUUCAUAUUUAAUAAUAUUUAAUAUUUCAUUUACUACUGGGGACUCACCUUUUUCAGAAGAAUGUAAGAUUUGAGGCACUAUCGUGCAUUAAGAUUUCAUGUCUGACUGUAGCAGUAUUGUAAAGGCAGGCGUUGGAGCUGCUCAGCCUGGGAGCCAGGAGGGCCCUUUCUUUUUUCCUACAGCCAAAACUGGAGCUGAAGGCCCAGAACGCAGCGGGGUGUAUCUGCAAAAGAGAACCAUACGUUUCUUCAGGUUCUCAAGUGUUGGUGCCUUCUGCUACCAAAUGUACGGGCAGCAGCAGAGACCUGGGGAAGAUUCUCUGUGCUGCUGUAUGAAAAAAGGGCAUGGAAGGAAAGAGAUUUCCAGUGGGGUGGGUGAGUUAUCACAGCGUGGGGGAAAGCAAACAAAGCAACAUUCUAAAUUUUACAUAGUUGCUGCUAUUGCACUUUUCUUUCAUGAUAAUACUGGUGUUGUGUUUUGUUGUUGCUGUUGUUGUUGUUUUUAAUUCCCCAUGCUACUAAUUUUCCAAUCACUCCUUAGUGGGUGUUUCCUUCUCGGUAUUUCCUUUUAAGUCAGAGCUGAAUUUUUGCACAGAAGGAGAGGCUCCUUUUAAACAUGCAGCAACUCCUGUCUUUCCAGUAUUGGCCUUGUUUUUCUUCCUGGAGAGUCUGUUGGUACAUUUUUACCCCUUUCUAUGAUAUUCCUCAGGGGCUGAAGCUCUCAGAUAAUCUAAAAUUCUCUCCUGACACAGUAAGGUGGUUUUCAGCCAACUUCCAUUGCCCUGACUUCCACACCAGACAUAGAGUAGGAAGCAGCCUCCACACUCCUCGGUCCCAUUGUCCCAUUCAGAACUGUAUCAUUAGGGGGCUGGACUCAAUGAUCUCUUGAGGUCCCUUCCAACCCCUGCAAUUCUGUGAUUUCCCAGCUGAUGUAAGCUGGUUAGAUUUUGCCACCAGCUUUGCUUGGGUGCAGCCUGUGGGAAGAAGGACCUUUGGAAGAGCUGGGACGCAGAACAUUUCAUGGUGCAACAGAGCCUUCUUCUGUUAAAAGUUUUAGUUUUGUAGCUCCGGUGGGCUGGUGCCUUGGGCUGGAGCAGAUGCUACAAGGAUGGAGCACAGACUCAGGUGGGUUGUUAGAGUUAGGGUAGUAUGAUUUGGUUGUAGUUAGACUUGAUAAUCUUGAAGGUCUUUUCCAACCUGAGCAAUUCUGUGAUUCUAUGAUUUAGCUCCCAGAAGUCACUGAAGCAGAAGGCUUCCACAAGUCCUUCUGUCUGGGGGCAUGUUAAAAUGCACCCCUCCAGCUUCAAGGUUUUAUAAGAAGAUGCUUUUCCAGGAGAGGGCAAGCAGGUUUUUGCCAGCAGUUUCAGUUUCAGAUCUUAUUGAGGGGUUCUGGCAUUUGCAUAACUUCCCACAGAAACUGAAUCAAUGCUUGACAUCAUGGAACAGAAUUUCUGGCAUGAUUUAGCAUUAGUAAGCCACUAGUCAUCAGCAUACUGUCCUUCCCCUGUGUUUGACAUCUUAAUACAGUCGGCCUCAUGGACACACAUGUUCAGCAGCAUCAGAUUCUUGUGCUGCUUAUGAACUGUUUAACACGGGCUUGCACACAUGGACAUCCAAACACACUGGUCCAAUCUGAUCAAUUUUCAGUGCUCAACAUGCAUUUUCCUUUUAGGCAAGAAGGGAUUUUUAAGCCCUCUUAAAUAAUUGAAGAUACUACUGAUACAAUCAAAAGUCAAGCUCCCCAAGAUGAAAAUGUCUAGAUGAUGAAUAAGUUAAUGGAACUAAAAUCCCAGUCGUAGCUGAUUAGGGGACCAGGAGAGUUUAUCAGAGAUGGGAAUGUACAAGCCCAGUCACAGCCUGACCUUGUAACGAAUGAGAGCUGAAAAGCAAUUAAUUGAGAAAUUAUCGGGGAAAAGCAAAGUUGUAUGCUUGGUUAGGUAAAGCAAUGUGUCAAUGGGCCAGGGAUUGAUUUGGCUGAAAUACCUCAAGGUCUCUGUUCUGAUGAUUCAGGACUUGAAGGAACUGGCCCGAGCCAAGCAAUAAAAAUAAAACAGGGUCAGCAGAGGGAGUCAUCCGUCAGCAUGGCGGGUCCGUGUUCAUGUAUUAUUUAGCUGAUAGUUAAGGGAAGUUAUCAAAUGAGCUCAGGCUUUCAUCCCAACUUUUUUUUCCCAGAGGGUGGGGAAAUGGAGGGAGAGAAAAGAAAAUGCUUGGCAGUGUGAGCACCCACUGCACUGAGCUGGGGAAUGGCUGCUGGGCCAGCGGAUGGCAAACCUCUCCCACUCACUUUGGGGCUGCAGGGAGACAGCUCACCCCAUUGGCUCCCAGCCCUCCUGUUCCUGUCUCCAAAUCCCAGAAGCCAGCACUUGACUUCUGCUUCUGCCUUUUGCCUGCCAGAUGACUUUCUGAUGUGCCAUAGAGCCCAGGAAAUGUAGAGGCUGUUACUAAAUCUCUGCUCUCAUUCAGUUUGGCAUCAUCUUCUACUGUGGCUGAAAAGUUGCUUGAAAAUUACAGCAAGCUUUCCUGUUCAGUCAAUAUUUUAAGUUCUGUUUUCCUGGAGUAAGGUUUCCUAAAUAUUUCAGUUUUAAUAUUGGCUCUUUUUGUGUUUUCCUUAACAAAAUCUCAAUGGCAGUCGCCUCUAUGGCUGUAGUGGGGGCAGAGGCAAAAGGUUUGGUUGGUAGAGAUUACAUGUCUGGUGAUGCAAACAUGGGCUGGGUGCAUUAAUGUCAAGCUAAGGAGUGCUGCCUGGAGAUAACAGCAUGAUCAAAGACUGCAGCAGGAGGAGAAGCAAGGAGAGGUGGUGGGCUGCUGGUGCUGUCCUGGGGGAGGACCCCAAGUAGGAAGAGAAGGGAACUAAAAACCCCACUGAUCAAAAUCAGAACAGAACAGUGAUUUCUGCUCCUUAAAUCCUGAAGCAACCACAGCAUUUCACCACAGAGAGCCGCAGCUGCUGCCAUAUCACAAACACAGGUUUCUAGAAGGAAACCACAGCAGCAACUUGGAGAGAAAGGAACAGCCUUAUCGCAGUGCCCAUAGGUACAUCUCAACCCGUGCUCAUUGCUGGGACACAGCAUGUCUGUGCACUCUGUGCACGCUGUGGCUGCUGUGAAUCAGAGAACAUUCCUUAAAGAAUCUUUGUACCAUUUUAUGCCAUGACAACAUCCAGUCAGGGGACCAACCUGAUUCAAGCAUCCCAGCACUUCCAUGGAGGUGAAUUCCACACAUUUUUUAAAGAAAAGCCAGAUUUAGCACUCCAGAAUCCUUCCGAAGCCAGGCUCGUAGCCACUGUUGGCUAUUAACAGAUGAUCUCUCUGAGAAAGGAAAAUGGGAUUCCCCACACUGGUGACAGCACAAGCUGUUCUCCUUAUGGGAUUGCAUUAUUUUUCACCUCCAAGGCCAUGCUGCUGUGCAGCCUCAGCACAGCAUUGGAGAGUAUAUGCUGUGCUGCUGAUGUGCUGGCAUGGCCCGGCACUGAUCACAUAUUAUCACCUUACCAUAAUUAUCAAAGCUGAUUGAGAAGAAAUCCUCCUGGCGUGGCCCUUGUCCUGCCCUCUGCUCCUCAGAGCACAGGGGGUGCAGCUCCCAGCAGGACACCAGCACUGCCAGCAGCAAAAUCGCUGCGCUCCAUGGGGCGACGAUUCCCUGCAUGAAGCAGCAAGAGAGAUGCUAUCAUGGUGAUAUCAUUAAUUCAUGUUCUCAAGGAGCGUGCGUCUAGGAACAUACCAAAAUUCAGUCUCAGUGAAUCCUGUGAUCCUCAGCUGCUCUGCGUGCACACUCCAUGAUCUGCUAAUUUGGGGAUGUACAUUUGCAUGCUAUGUAGCUACAAGAACCCAGAGACUGAUUCCUCGCAUGAUUUUUCCUUAGCUUCAGUGUGCCACUACCAGAGAUAUUUUCUUGAUACUCUGAAUGCCACUGGAAAUAAGACUGUGAAGGUAAACCAGAGGGUGUCCUGAUGCAAAGAGAGGGGCUGUGCCCUUCGAUUCACUUGGCAGAAGGGGUGCUGGACUGCCAUGUAGGUGGGAUGGCAUUCUUGGGGGAGAAGGAAACCAUUCAAGUAGCAGUCGAUGUCGAAGGCGAUCUUCCUUACAAAAUGCUGUGUAUGAGGCUCAAACAAGGCUGCUACAAAAGGCAGGGUUAGUCAAUCUGCAGAUCUCCCAUUUGGGCUUUUUGUUGUUGUUGCAAAGGGUUAACAGGCGCUGAAAAACAUUUCUAGGACGAAAUGCUAAGAUUUAGUGCACUGAAUUAAUUCUUAAAUUAGAACAGGGGAUUUGCACAUGAUUUCUAAGGGAAAUUAUCUUCUGGGUGAAAUUAAUACAGGAGAUGUUUCAACAUCUGGGCUGGCAUUAUUACGAGCAAUGAUUAUCCAGACAUUGCCAAAAGAAAGAGAGCACAGUAGACUCUUUCUGUUCCUAACCAAAAUAAGCAGCUCACCCUGAAGGAAGAAGACUAUUUGCAGAAGCAGUGGCUGAUUUGGAAAUGCACGAGAAGUAUUCCGUUCUGUAAGAAAAAAAAAGAAAGCUGCAUGUCUGAUAACGGGUGGUAGGAAACCAAACUGUGGGCUCCAGAAACGGUACCUUUAAUACAUGGGCUCUGGGCAUCAGUCUGCCUCCCCUUCACACUCCUCAUCAAGAAAGGUGCUUAAUGCAGGGGUACAGCUGUCCAGGUCUUUCAUGUUCAGAGGUUAAGGAGGAAAUGUGCUGGCAGAUGUGACCUGGAAAAACUCAAGGCAUGCUUUGUUGGCAGCCUGAAAACACCCCCCUCAAACCUAAAUAGGGCGCAGAGCAAAGCCAAAGCAAGACCUGCUUGAGUUAGUUUGUCAAAACAAUCACACUCCGGGAGGAGCUUAUAAAUAUUUAUCUGCUUCAGAGUAUUUCAUUUUGUAAAGGAAAGGGGGAAGGAGCUGGAGUGGGGAAAAGAAGACCGGUGUCAUGCAGGGCCCUGCUCCUUUCAUAGGAAAAAACACCAGUGUUUAAUUUAAAAGGGCAUAAAUAUAAGCCAAACGCCACUUUACUUUCAUGUUAGUCACUGGCUAUUAAAUUACAUCACAAGCACUACGUGUGGGACCAGGAGAGUGCACAGUUAUUUCUGUCUUCUAAACCAGAGUGCAAGUCUCAAGGUAAUUACUUUGGAUCCAAGUGUAAUUACCAGCUGAUCUGCAGGAACAGACACAGUAGUCACAUUCAUUCACGGCAGCAUUAGAGCCUGGUGAUAACACAGCAUCAUUAACACAGCUUAGCACUCCAUCCGUGGCUGCAGGCCGUGGCUUUCCCUGGGAAGCAUUCCGGUCCAACCCACGAGGAGUCACAGAUGCUGCCCUGGGUCUGCACACGAGCAGGGUGGUGCAAGCUGUGUCAACAGCAAACAUGAAAUUAAGUCAGAGAAGAGAUUUUCUGCACUGUAUUUCUCCUUUUAGUGGUAUUUCUGCAGUCUGUCCUUACUUUUUCCUUGGCAGAGCACUGCACACCCUGGGAAGGAGGUGCUGCUUCCCCCCAAGUCACUGCCUUUCUGUUUAGCUUUGCUCUGCUUUGCUCUGCUCCACCGUGACAGCAUCAUGCUACGAUUCAGGAAUGUUUUCUCUUGAGCUCACCCCUCAUCCGUCCCUUUUGGAUUCGCUUUUCUUUAUUCCUUUAUCUUUUUUUUUUUUUUCAAGGCUGCGAGCAUCACAGUAAACAACCCUUUUAUUCUGAUGGUCUUGAAAGCUUUCUCUGCACCUCCAAGAAGGCCAGAAAAAUUCUUCAGAAAGAGAAAAGGAGAAAAAAAAAAAUCCUCCUUUCUUUAGAAAAUUCCUUGGUUUGUUACCGUGCUUUCCUAACAUUGCAUUGCUCCGCAGACAGCACCAUUAACAGACUGAGCUUAGAAAUUAAAACAUAUAUCUUUAAAAAAUACCUUUUUAAUGUAGCAUUUUCAAGUACCCUUAUUUUUUUAUCAGUUCUAGAUCGUAAAUGCGAGAAAAUGAAAAGAUGACAGAGCACAGCUUGACAUGAUUUCCUAUAAGAAGUGUGGGACCUAAGAUGACACAAAUGAGCCAGGCGAUCGCUCCCCGCUCCUGUAGGUAGCAAUGCAUUCGCACACCAUUCACAUUCAGCGAUGUUAAAGUGAGAUUGGCAGGGUAAGUAACCCCUGAUGGAGGCUUUCCAUUUCGGGCAGCCCUGCUAAGCCAUGCCUGAUGCUUCCAAUGAGCUCCGUAGCACAGAGAUGGCUUUUUCCCUGCUUUUGCUUCUGUGCUGGUUUUAUCAGAGCAGCUCCGCGGAUGUCAGUGAGGCACAUUUUGUUUUCAGUUACAUCAGUGUAAAUCACAGCUGAUCUAGUGAACUCAGAGAUACCCACUUUACAGCGAUAUCUUUGACAUUAAGAGUUUGGUGCCAUGGUAUUAUGACAGUUUAAAGCCCCUCCAUGAAGAAACAAAGUCAAGAUCAGCACUGUCCUGGAACACAUUACAAAGUGUGUUUGUUAUUGUAGAGAAGACAGCAUUUGCCUUGGCUGUGAAAAAGAAAACCAGGUCUCAGAUCUAUAACAGCGAAGAUUUCAUCUCCGCAAUUUAUCCAAUGAGAUUUCCACUCCUCUUGCACAGAUACCCUGCUGCUAACAUAGCAGUCAAGAUCAGAGCACUUAAUCAAUCAUUCACUGAGGACAAAUAUGCGUAAUCUAAAUUAGGCAUAUUUUAUAUGACAGCCGUGGAGAUCUUUAAGAAAAAGCAUUGGCAAGAAAACUGCAUGAAAGCAUUGUUUGUGUAUCUGCUUAAAGUGGUAGAAUUCCUACAGGUUUCCAUGGAAUUGGGUGGCCUUGGGUAUACUGGGGCAAACUCUGCUCUCACCCAUUUCCCUUCCACCUUCCCAUUAAAAGCUGGGGCUGGGGCUGGCCCCUCUGAAGCAGAAAGUAUGCUGCAGAGCUCUAUGUGACGGAACCUACUGCUUAAAAACCUUUCAUAUUUUAUGACGGCUGUUGACUCUCUUAUGAUCAGCAUUGGCUCAAGCUCUCAUGAAUCAAAAAUCGGUUCGUGGCAUGCAUCUUAGAGCAACCUAUUUGUCUGCAGGUAGCAAAGGGAAAUGGCACUUUGAAGGAUAAAAGUCCUUUGCCUUUAGAAGGACGCAUGGGCUGCAGGGAAGGCUGGGCACCGGGGGGAGCUUGGACCUCCCAUUCAGGCUCAGCCCUGGGCAUGCUGGGUGACCUUGUGUUCUUCCGUUUCCCUCUGGGUGAGACAUUAUGUAUCCAUGAUAAUAAAAUGCAAGGUUCUUUCACUGCAGCUGGUGGUUUCAUCCAUUGUAGCAACUUGCAGAAGCUCCCUUUGAAAAAAUAAAUAAAAUAAAAAAUGAGAGGCAUUAAAAGGAGCAAAGAGCUGAGCCUCUUUCAGCGAAACCACACAACUCUCCUCAGAGGUCGGGCCCUGGUUGCCCUGACUGUGCAGGGUGAGAGCUCUGUGGUGGAGCAUCCUGGCAAUGGCUGUGAGAGCAGGCAGAGAGCUGCUCCUCAGCCCAUGGUGCACAUCAGCUUCAGGUGCCCUUUGAUGUGCAAUGCACUCAGCACACAGCAGGGUGGGCAGGCAGCACCAACAGGGCAGCCAGCACUGCCUUCUGAGUGACUCCUAAAGUGACGACUUCUGCAAAAAUGCUGGCAAUGGCCGUGCAAGCAUCCCUUCACCACUGCCUUCUGCAGUCCCUGUCCUACCCCUGCUUCUGCUUUCCAGGAGGAGCAAAUGCUGCCACAACAAUCCACACAUCUCCCAAACCUCCCAUAGGGAGCAAAUCUCAGUUUAUUGCCAUGUUUCAAUACUAUUACAUAUGCAGUCCCUGGAUGGGAAUGGGUCUAAUCUGGCAUGCAGCAGGGUUUGUUUUCUCUCCACUGCCUCAAGUUUUUGGAAGAGCUGCUAAGGCUUUCCAGGGACAACCACGGAGAUUAUAGAUUUUUCUACCAAGCAACUCUCUGAGGCAACACAUUGCUGUCAGUACUGCUGAUGUUGGCAGAUUUGUUCCAAUUGGUUCGGGAAAUGCCGGUAGAAUCAAUGAUCCAAUAUCACUAGAAUUAAAGACAAUGGUAAAUAGCG
ensembl:lncRNA